AAAGUUAUGAAGGCUUGAUUAUAUCUUAACUGUAUAAAUAUUUACCAUGAUCUAUUCACUUGUUCGUACAGGGUGCUUUUGGUAAAAGUGCACUAAUUGGAUCUGGUUUGGCAACAUACACGCUGCUUGGAUUAGGAGUGCUUGGCGGUCCUUUAUCACUUCCUUGGGGACUCUAUGUGCUGAUUUGCCAGAGAACUCCAGAGAAGCCAUGCUUGAAUGAUGUGACUGAGGUUGGAACAUGGAGGAAAGUAGCUGUUGCCAUAGCUAUGUUCCUCGUCAUCUUGACGCUGCUUCCCGUUGGGGAUGAGCUCGCAGAAGAGCUAGGUAUAGGUCUUGUAACCAUAUUUUGAUGUCUAACAUGUAAAUCCAAUUUUUGACUAAAAUCAUAUUGAACAUUGAGAUGAUGGAGGUCUUGUUCAAUUGGUUAUAUAAUCUUUCUUGUAACUAUGUUAUCCUUAUUUGUUACCCUGUUUUUCCCUUUCCCCAUUUUUGCUUCCACUAGGAUUUCAGUCAGUUGUAAAUUGAAACAUGGAUGUCUUCUAAUAAGAUAAUUUUACAGAUUUUUUUUCUCUUC